rnacentral:rRNA from 1 species
UUUAGUUAAUUCUACUAAUAGUUAUAUAUUUAUCUUAAAGAUUAAAUUAUAUAUAUCUAAGUAUAAGUAAUUAUAUAGUAAAACUGUAAAUAACUUAUUAUAUAAGUUAUUACUUAUUUAAUAGUAUCUUACUAUUUAAAUAACUAUGGUAAUUCUAAAGUUAAUAUAUAUUAAAAAUUCCGAUUUUAGAAGGGAUAUAUUUAUUAGAUUAAAAACUAAUACUUUUUGGGGCUUACUAGUAAUUUAUAAUAAUUUCUUAAAUUAUAUAACUUUAUACUGAUAAUAGUUUAUUUAAAUUUCUUUCCUAUUAAUUUUUGAUGCUAGAGUAGUAUUUUAGUAUAGUUAUAAUAGGUAAUAGAGGGUUAGGGUUUGAUUCUGGAGAAGAAGCUUAAGAAAUAGCUACUAUAUCUAAGGAAGGCAGUAGGUAUGUAAAUUACCUAAUCUUAAUAUAGGGAGGUAAUGAUAAUAAAUACUGAUAUAGGGUUUUUUUAGGUUUUAUAAUUAGAAUAAGUAUAAUUUAAAUUUCUUAAUGAGGAAUAAUUAGAGGGUAAGUCUGAUACUAGUAGCUAUAGUAAUUCCAGUUUUAAUAGUGUAUAUUAAAAUUAUUAUAGUUAAAAAGUUUAUAGUAGAAUUUUAGGUUUGGCUGGCUGGUCUGCUUUACUGUAUAUAUUAGUUUAGCUGGGUUUUUCCCUCUGUGGAACUGUAUGUUCUUUACUGGGUGUGCUGGGGAAAUAGGAUUUUUAUUUUGAAAAAAUUAGAAUGCUUUAGGUAGGUUUAUAUUUGAAUAUAUUAGUAUGGAAUAAUAGAAUAGAAUGUGUGGUUCUAUUUUGUUGGUUUUUAGGAUUGCUGUAAUGAUUAAUAGGGAUAGUUAGAGGUAUUAGUAUUUAAUUAUCAGAAGUGAAAUUUUUAGAUUUAUUAAAGAUUAAUUAUUAUGAAAGUAUUUGCUAAGGAUGUUUUUAUUUAUUAGGAAUAAAAGUUAGGAGAUUGAAGAUAAUUAGAUACUAUUAUAAUCUUAACUAUAAACUAUGCUGAUUAGGGAUUAGAUAAUAUUAUUUUUUGAUUUAUUUGGCAUUUUAUAAGAAAUUAAAGUGUUUAGGCUCUAGGGGGAGUAUGGUUAUAAGGUUGAAAUUUAAAGAAAUUAAUAGAAGGGUAUUAUUAGGGGUAAAUAGUAGCUAUUUAAGUUCUACUCUAGAUAGUAAGUCUGUAAAGAGUUUAGUAGCUAGCUCUAAAUUACUAAUUACUCUAGUAAUAAUAAUAUCCACUAAUUACGGGAAACUCUUAGAGGGUAGUAUUCUUAAGUAGUAUUUAAAAGAGAUACUAUAGUAGUAGCGUAAUAGCUGUCAGUAUAGAGAUAAUAUACUACUUAUAAGGUAACUUACAGCUAAACUCCUAAUUAUAAGGAAGGUUUAGAGAUUUAAUAGGGAUAAGUAACGUCUUUAGGCGUUGCCUAAAAUAAAGUCUGUAUCUACUUAAGAGAGUAGAGACUAACUAGUAUAUUACUUAAAAAGGGAGCCUGCAGUUUAAUUUAAUUUAAUAUAGGGAAACUUACUAAGUUUAAAUAUAAUAAGGAUUAAUAGAUUAAGAGUUUUUUCUUGAUUUUAUAGGUAGUAGUGUAUAGCUAUUCUUAGUUAGUAGAGUAAUUUGUCUGCUUAAUUAUGAUAAUAAAUAAGAUCUUAACCUGCUAAAUAGUUUAUAUUAUUUUAGUAGUAUAUUGGUUUCUUAGAGGAACUAUUAGUUUAAACUGAUAGAAGUUUGAAGUAAUAAUAAGUUAAUUUUUAUAGGUUUGUAAUAG